rnacentral:rRNA from 1 species
UACGUAGGGUGCGAGCGUUGUCCGGAAUUACUGGGCGUAAAGAGCUCGUAGGCGGUUUGUCACGUCGUCUGUGAAAUCCUCCAGCUUAACUGGGGGCGUGCAGGCGAUACGGGCAGACUUGAGUACUACAGGGGAGGACUGGAAUUCCUGGUGUAGCGGUGAAAUGCGCAGAUAUCAGGAGGAACACCGGUGGCGAAGGCGGGUCUCUGGGCCACUACUGACGCUGAGAAGCGAAAGCAUGGGGAGCGAACAGGAUUAGAUACCCGU